rnacentral:rRNA from 1 species
CCUACGGGAGGCUGCAGUGGGGGAUAUUGCACAAUGGGGGGAACCCUGAUGCAGCGACGCCGCGUGGGGGAAGAAGCGCCUCGGCGCGUAAAGCCCUGUCAGCAGGGAAGAAAAUGACGGUACCUGAAGAAGAAGCACCGGCUAACUACGUGCCAGCAGCCGCGGGAAUACGUAGGGGGCAAGCGUUAUCCGGAUUUACUGGGUGUAAAGGUGGCGCAGACGGCGAUGCAAGCCAGGAGUGAAAGCCCGGGGCCCAACCCCGGGACUGCUCUUGGAACUGCGUGGCUGGAGUGCAGGAGGGGCAGGCGGAAUUCCUGGUGUAGCGGUGAAAUGCGUAGAUAUCAGGAGGAACACCAGUGGCGAAGGCGGCCUGCUUGACUGCAACUGACGUUGAGGCGCGAAAGCGUGGGGAGCAAACAGGAUUAGAUACCCUUGUAGUC